rnacentral:rRNA from 1 species
GACGAGCGCUGGCGGCGUGCUUAACACAUGCAAGUCGAACGGAAAGGCCUUUUCGGAGGUACUCGAGUGGCGAACGGGUGAGUAACACGUGGGUGAUCUGCCCUGCACUCUGGGAUAAGCCUGGGAAACUGGGUCUAAUACCGGAUAGGACCGCACUUUAGUGUGUGUGGUGGAAAGUUUUUUCGGUGUAGGAUGAGCCCGCGGCCUAUCAGCUUGUUGGUGAGGUAAUGGCCUACCAAGGCGGCGACGGGUAGCCGGACUGAGAGGUUGGUCGGCCACAUUGGGACUGAGAUACGGCCCAGACUCCUACGGGAGGCAGCAGUGGGGAAUAUUGCACAAUGGGCGCAAGCCUGAUGCAGCGACGCCGCGUGGGGGAUGACGGCCUUCGGGUUGUAAACUCCUUUCGCCAGGGACGAAGCGUUUUGUGACGGUACCUGGAGAAGAAGCACCGGCUAACUACGUG